rnacentral:rRNA from 1 species
GACGGAGGAUGCAAGUGUUAUCCGGAAUCACUGGGCGUAAAGCGUCUGUAGGUGGUUCGAAAAGUCCACUGUUAAAAAUUGAGGCUUAACUUCAAAGAUGCCGUGGAAACUUUCAAACUAGAGUAUGGUAGGGGUAGAGGGAAUUUCCAGUGGAGCGGUGAAAUGCGUAGAUAUUGGAAAGACCACCGAUGGCGAAGGCACUCUACUGGGCCGAUACUGACGCUGAGGAGCGAAAGCGUGGGGAGCGAACAGG